rnacentral:rRNA from 1 species
UACGUAGGGGGGCAAGCGUUGUCCGGAUUUAUUGGGCGUAAAGAGCGUGUAGGCGGCCAUACAGGUCCGUUGUGAAAAACUGGAGGCUUAACCUCCAGACGUCGAUGGAAAACCGUAUGGCUAGAGUCCGGAAGAGGAGAGUGGAAUUCCUGGUGUAGCGGUGAAAUGCGCAGAUAUCAGGAAGAACACCCGUGGCGAAGGCGGCUCUCUGGGACGGUACUGACGCUGAGACGCGAAAGCGUGGGGAGCGAACAGG